rnacentral:rRNA from 1 species
AGUGAACGCUGGCGGUAGGCCUAACACAUGCAAGUCGAACGGCAGCACAGUAAGAGCUUGCUCUUACGGGUGGCGAGUGGCGGACGGGUGAGGAAUACAUCGGAAUCUACUUUUUCGUGGGGGAUAACGUAGGGAAACUUACGCUAAUACCGCAUACGACCUACGGGUGAAAGCAGGGGAUCUUCGGACCUUGCGCGAUUGAAUGAGCCGAUGUCGGAUUAGCUAGUUGGCGGGGUAAAGGCCCACCAAGGCGACGAUGCGUAGCUGGUCUGAGAGGAUGAGCAGCCACACUGGAACUGAGACACGGUCCAGACUCCUACGAGAGGCAGCAGUGGGGAAUAUUGGACAAUGGGCGCAAGCCUGAUCCAGCCAUACCGCGUGGGUGAAGAAGGCCUUCGGGUUGUAAAGCCCUUUUGUUGGGAAAGAAAAGCAGCAGGUUAAUACCCCGCUGUUCUGACGGGACCCAAAGAAGAAGCACCGGCUAACUUCGU